GCGUCUCGCGCGGCCAGCGCGAACCUGAGCCUUCCAAGCUCAUGGCCCGGGUUCAAAUCCCGGCCGGCGCA
rnacentral:tRNA from 1 species